rnacentral:misc_RNA from 1 species
GAAGGUUAUGGAGGAAAAAAGAAUUAUGUAAGUUAAUAUAACGUGUUAUCGAUUAUGUUCUGCUCUUCAUUAUAGAGUUGAGUAAUGUGAUGGUCUAGGUUGUCUCUGUAUGAGAUACCCAUUUUAGUGAAUCAUUUGAUGCCCAACAACAUAUGUUGUCACUGUUGUUUGACACUUACAGUGUGUUUGGACUUUGGAUGAAAUGUACGAGGUUUUUUUGAAGGUUAAUGGGAAAAACUGGGGCUUUUGAAGGUUUUAAAACCUUCAA